rnacentral:rRNA from 1 species
UACGAAGGGGGCUAGCGUUGUUCGGAAUUACUGGGCGUAAAGGGCGCGUAGGCGGUGUGUCAAGUCAGGCGUGAAAGCCCCGGGCUCAACCUGGGAACCGCGCUUGAGACUGGCACGCUAGAGUUCGGGAGAGGAUGGUGGAAUUCCCAGUGUAGAGGUGAAAUUCGUAGAUAUUGGGAAGAACACCGAUGGCGAAGGCAGCCAUCUGGACCGACACUGACGCUGAGGCGCGAAAGCGUGGGGAGCAAACCGG